rnacentral:rRNA from 1 species
AUACUUGUUCUAAAUACUACGUGCACGUCGAGCGGACAGAUGGGAGCUUGCUCCCUGAUGUUAGCGGCCCCACGGGUGAGUAACACGUGGGUAACCUGCCUGUAAGACUGGGAUAACUCCGGGAAACCGGGGCUAAUACCGGAUGGUUGUUUGAACCGCAUGGUUCAAACAUAAAAGGUGGCUUCGGCUACCACUUACAGAUGGACCCGCGGCGCAUUAGCUAGUUGGUGAGGUAACGGCUCACCAAGGCAACGAUGCGUAGCCGACCUGAGAGGGUGAUCGGCCACACUGGGACUGAGACACGGCCCAGACUCCUACGGGAGGCAGCAGUAGGGAAUCUUCCGCAAUGGACGAAAGUCUGACGGAGCAACGCCGCGUGAGUGAUGAAGGUUUUCGGAUCGUAAAGCUCUGUUGUUAGGGAAGAACAAGUACCGUUCGAAUAGGGCGGUACCUUGACGGUACCUAACCAGAAAGCCACGGCUAACUACGUGCCAGCAGCCGCGGUAAUACGUAGGUGGCAAGCGUUGUCCGGAAUUAUUGGGCGUAAAGGGCUCGCAGGCGGUUUCUUAAGUCUGAUGUGAAAGCCCCCGGCUCAACCGGGGAGGGUCAUUGGAAACUGGGGAACUUGAGUGCAGAAGAGGAGAGUGGAAUUCCACGUGUAGCGGUGAAAUGCGUAGAGAUGUGGAGGAACACCAGUGGCGAAGGCGACUCUCUGGUCUGUAACUGACGCUGAGGAGCGAAAGCGUGGGGAGCGAACAGGAUUAGAUACCCUGGGUAGUC